AAAAAAAAAAAAAAAAAAAAAAAAAGAAAGAGAAUAAAAGCACAAUAAAUAUCCGUGAAUCCACUGCCCAAUUUUAGACAUUUUAGCUUGGACGUGCGCCUCGCGCUCUGCCCGCAGUGUAACCGAUAGCCUUGAUUUGGGAUUUGAUUCCUUGCCUUCCUUUACAGAUCUGAAGUCCUUCCCGCCAGGCCCUGGAGGGGAAACUCAGGACUCCUCUCUGGGUGGAGUCUGGCCCAAGUCGGGCGAGAGCAGCUCAGUGCUGCCCUCUGGGGGCGAGGCUGCAGCUUCCUCCUGCUCAGCCCCAGCCAGGGUUGGAAGAAGCCCACCCAGCUUAGCGUGGCGAGACCCCACAGAAGGGUGGGCGCAGUCACUGCGCACACACCUGCAGGGCACGCCUGGACGCACAUCCGCAUGUGGCUACGCACAGGCCGCCACUUCAGCCCUGGGGCCAGCUCUGCCCUAUCCAGCAUUCACACUGCCACCAAAGGGAGCUCCUUCUUCAAACUACUCAAU